GAAUUUUGCGGUUCGACGCCAAUUCAAGCGUGCAAGUGGUUUUGCAGUGAAUUGGCGUAUGGUAAGCCAUUACCUGAAAGCAGUAAAAUGGAAGCCUGGCACGAACUGUAGUUAGUCUAGGUUGAACGCUACCCUAAGUCUAGUAGGGUUCAAUUCCAAUUGUCCUUUUGGAAUAUCUAGCCUCGAUUAUAAGGACGACUCGACUGGUGUUAAGUCUGUUGAAAAUCAUUCACGUUUAAUUUGUACAAGUGAAUAUAAAGAUUAAACUGCAAUAUCUCAAAAAGUCGUUAGCUUCGCUUAACUAUAAAUCUAUGCAAUAUAACAUUGUGUGACAUUGCAGUGAUUACAUGCUUCCGGUUUCAAAGGUUACGAAUUGGUUUCAAAUUACGUUUUGAAACCAAUUCGUAUAAAAUAUAACAUCACAGAUCGAGCCUACAAAUAAUUAAGUUGAGAUUAUUUAGUUGGAGCCUGAGCGAUCAAAGAACAUAAUUGUGCCGAAUUGUUUAUAAUCAUGGAAGAAUUUUGG